rnacentral:piRNA from 1 species
UAGAAAAAUAGAAUUACAUCA